rnacentral:rRNA from 1 species
GACGAACGCUGGCGGCGUGCUUAGCACAUGCAAGUCGAACGGAAAGGCCCUGCUUUUGUGGGGUGCUCGAGUGGCGAACGGGUGAGUAACACGUGAGUAACCUGCCCUUGACUUUGGGAUAACUUCAGGAAACUGGGGCUAAUACCGGAUAGGAGCUCCUGCUGCAUGGUGGGGGUUGGAAAGUUUCGGCGGUUGGGGAUGGACUCGCGGCUUAUCAGCUUGUUGGUGGGGUAGUGGCUUACCAAGGCUUUGACGGGUAGCCGGCCUGAGAGGGUGACCGGCCACAUUGGGACUGAGAUACGGCCCAGACUCCUACGGGAGGCAGCAGUGGGGAAUAUUGCACAAUGGGCGGAAGCCUGAUGCAGCAACGCCGCGUGCGGGAUGACGGCCUUCGGGUUGUAAACUCCUUUCGUCAGGGACGAAGCGAAAGUGACGGUACCUGGAUAAGAAGCACCGGCUAACUACGUG